rnacentral:rRNA from 1 species
GACGAACGCUGGCGGCGUGCUUAACACAUGCAAGUCGAACGGAAAGGCCCUGCUUUUGUGGGGUGCUCGAGUGGCGAACGGGUGAGUAACACGUGAGUAACCUGCCCUUGACUUUGGGAUAACUUCAGGAAACUGGGGCUAAUACCGGAUAGGAGCUCCUGCUGCAUGGUGGGGGUUGGAAAGUUUCGGCGGUUGGGGAUGGACUCGCGGCUUAUCAGCUUGUUGGUGGGGUAGUGGCUUACCAAGGCUUUGACGGGUAGCCGGCCUGAGAGGGUGACCGGCGACAUUGGGACUGAGAUACGGCCCAGACUCGUACGGGAGGCAGCAGUGGGGAAUAUUGCACAAUGGGGGGAAGCCUGAUGCAGCAACGCCGCGUGCGGGAUGACGGCCUUCGGGUUGUAAACCGCUUUCGCCUGUGACGAAGCGUGAGUGACGGUAAUGGGUAAAGAAGCACCGGCUAACUACGUG